AGCGACCCGAGGGACUGGCGGCCCGGCGGGCGGUCCCUCCCGCCCAGCGGCUCGGGGCUGUCACUCGAGUUCUCGAGCGCGGGGCGGUCGCCAUCGCUGCCUUUUCUAACCCUUUGCAGGUCGGAGCGAGGGAAAGCUGAUCCCCAGACCUCCGGGCCAAACGCAGCUGCGAGACUCGGGUCUCAAAUUCGCCGGCUCGGACCACACAUUCCAGGACAACUUAGUCUUGCUAACCUGGUAGGGCCAGUGUUGAGAAGCACGGUACUACCCGGCCUCCAGGCUUUUCCAUCUGAUCGCUGAUGUCCUGGAUGAUUUGGAGAAGCUUCCACGUAACACCUGCCGUGUGCCCCCGGAAGUCCGUGUGUGGGAAUCGUUUUGUGCAAAGUGGCAGUGUCGGAAGUGUGAGGAAUCGAACUCUGGCACCUGGUACACUGGGCAUGUGCUGUACACGGAGCUACACAGUCAGCCCAAACCAUACGGUUAUGCAAACCUCUGAAGCAAGAAUUAUUCUCAUCUCCACUGUACACAUGAGGAAACUGAGGUCCACAGAGAUUAAGUGACUCUCCGAAGAAUAUCAUAGCCCAAAGUUCAUGUUUAUAAAAGGACUGUCUCCUAUAGCUAGUUCUUCCUUAAAGUAGUAGGAGGGUUUUUUUUGUUUGUUUGUUUGUUUUGUUUUUUAUUUUUUACGGGGGGUGGUUGUUCUGUUGAGAGAGGGUUUUGCUGUGUUGUCCAGGCUGAGCUCGAG